rnacentral:rRNA from 1 species
CAGGCCUAACACAUGCAAGUCGAGCGCUUGGGGUGUUCCCUUACGGGAAACCCCCUGGAGCGGCGGACGGGUGAGUAACACGUAGGCAACCUGCCUGUAAGAUCGGGAUAACUACCGGAAACGGUAGCUAAGACCGGAUAGCUGGUUUCUCCGCAUGGGGAAUCAUGAAACACGGGGCAACCUGUGGCUUACGGAUGGGCCUGCGGCGCAUUAGCUAGUUGGUGGGGUAAUGGCCCACCAAGGCGACGAUGCGUAGCCGACCUGAGAGGGUGAUCGGCCACACUGGGACUGAGACACGGCCCAGACUCCUACGGGAGGCAGCAGUAGGGAAUCUUCCGCAAUGGGCGCAAGCCUGACGGAGCAACGCCGCGUGAGUGAUGAAGGUUUUCGGAUCGUAAAGCUCUGUUGCCAAGGAAGAACGCCUCGGAGAGUAACUGCUCUGAGGGUGACGGUACUUGAGAAGAAAGCCCCGGCUAACUACGUGCCAGCAGCCGCGGUAAUACGUAGGGGGCAAGCGUUGUCCGGAAUUAUUGGGCGUAAAGCGCGCGCAGGCGGUCUUUUAAGUUUGGUGUUUAAGCCCGGGGCUCAACCCCGGUUCGCACUGAAAACUGGGAGACUUGAGUGCAGGAGAGGAAAGCGGAAUUCCACGUGUAGCGGUGAAAUGCGUAGAGAUGUGGAGGAACACCAGUGGCGAAGGCGGCUUUCUGGACUGUAACUGACGCUGAGGCGCGAAAGCGUGGGGAGCAAACA